rnacentral:pre_miRNA from 1 species
UAAGUACUCCCUCCGUUCGGAAUUACUUGUCUCGGAAAUGGAUGUAUCUAAAACUAAAAUACAUCUAGAUACAUCCAUUUCUAGGACAAGUAAUUCCGAACGGAGGGAGUAGUAC